UCGUUUUUCUCUCGAUUCUCUCCUCAACAAUAAACUCAUUAAUCACUCCCUAGCCGAUAAGUUAGAUGAAGAUUUGCAGAGAGACAGAUGUAUUGUUGUUGAUGGCGAUGCUUCUUCGCUUCUUCCAGGACAUGCUCACGUGUGUGAGGGUUUUAGGGAAGUUUCUGAGGAUGUUUUUGGGGCCUAUUAAUGUUCGUGCAUCUUGGAAAGAUGUGCAGCUUAAGGUCAAAGACGUGCAUCUCGCCGUAUCCGUAGUUUCAAGAUAUCUAACUUUCAUGUAAUGGAGAUGUUAAGAUCCAAACUGGUACGCUGAGUGUUUUUAUAAAACCAGAAGGAGUUUGCGCCAGAGUUUCUAUUGGACAGGGCUUUUUCUUAUCACUUUUUAAGGACAACAAUAACCACCAUUCGAAAGAGGCCCUUCAUCAUGCUAAGUUUAAGUUCCCCGGUCGUCAAAAGAUAAUGGUAGUUCUUUCAUAAAGGAAAAAAAUUCAGCUUAAGAGACGAACACACAUACAUUGAGAUUGAAGUAGCAGUAUUGGAAGAUGGUAAAGGUUUAAGCAACUGGGAGUAUUCAGUCAUACAAUAGGUUAAUUUUACUAAUUAUUUCAUUAUGUAACUUAGCUUAAUGUCGAAAAAUGAAUGAUAAUAAUUACAAUACAAUUGAAUGCAUGAUCUCCCACAAACUAUCCAAUGGUCAGCCACAUCUUACUCACAUACGCGGUUCAACCACCAAUCCUAUUUAGGUGGUGAAUGCGGGUCACUUUCAAGGUCAGCCUUCAUUCAACUAUAUCAGAAAUCCAGAACCACCCCAACUCCUUGUUGAUCUCAGAGCAGAACAGUACUAAAUAAAAAAAUAGGUAGUGAAAUAAUUGUCUUUUCAUACUUUUGAAAGCUACUAUAUAACAAGUAUGUGUUCUACAAUCUGAGUAAAAAUGUUCAUCUUAUUCUACUUUAAUAUUGGUUGGAAACUUGACUGCUGUUGGUAUUUCUAUGGGAGCUUUCUACAGCUUGGUGUGUAACAGGUUUGGUCAUAUAUUGCAACCUCUGAGGUGAACUUACUGAUCCAAUAACUAGAUUUCAUUUAAUAAUAUCUGCAAAUCUCCCUCUCCUGAGUUGAACUUACUGAUCCAAUAUAUAUAUUUCAUUUAAUAACUAGAAAAACUUUAAGAGAAGCUAUUAAGAAAUAUCUCAAAAUUAAUGAUUUGGAUAUAAGCAUGGUUCGGGAUACAACAUUAUCGGAAAAGUUGUUCCAUGUAAUCGAUUCGAUUCCACUUAGUGGGAUAGGGCUUGGUUGUUUCUGUUAUACUUGAAGGUUAUCUUCUGUUGUUAUUCUUUUCAUUCUUAAAUGUCUUUUGCUUUCAUUUACUACUUGUGCACAUCUCAUGAGAGAUUCAGAUACUACUAGUAUUGCAUUUUUUUCUUUUAAUGUUACUUAUUACUAAGGAUAUUUGGAGUUUGGACAUGGUUUUAUAGGAUCCUAUUGAAACUGAAUAUCUGACUCUGUCCUUUGACAUCUUGGUUGCACUUGCUUGUAUCUCUAUUAUUCUAGAAACAUGUGCUGGUUUGCUUUUAUAAAUUUAGAAUUUAAGGUUUAACUAGAAACAUGUUCUGGUUUGCCUUAUAGGUUUAUAACUGCUGCUUUAUCAUUCAGCUACCUUUGGAAUGAUCAAAUGGCAUCACAAUUUGCCUUAGAGAUUAAGGUAUAUUGAGAGCCUCAACAGUCUGGAGAUUGGCAGGUGCUACUUGAAUGAACUCGACGAAUCUUGUUUCAUUAGGAUUCGAAUUACGGCUACAACUUGAUUGGACUUGGUGGGUUGAUUUAUGUUUUGCUAUGAAAUUGUUUCCCAUACAUGAAUACAAGGCAUAUAGGUAUGCAUUUUGUGUAAGCAUCUGUUUGUUUGAAAAUUCAAAAAAUCUCAAGGAAAUAUCAACAUGAUAUUAGAAUGUCUCUUUCAGUGUGGGUCAACAUGUCAUAAUCCAGCAUUCCUCAAUCCUCACGGUCCCUUAUUUUAUUUGUUUUGACACUCCCUGACCAUGUGUUGAGACAACAGAUUGAGAAGGGUCCAGCAUUGAUAACAACAAAGGAUGCUGGAGAUGCAGUAGCUUUACUUCAGUCAUUAACCGGCUCCACUUAAAGCUACAUCAAAUUCUUGGAGAGGAAAGAGGAAAGAUUCAGCUCAUGUGUACUUCUUUUUAUUUUCAAAUGUUCAGUUUCUAGGUAGAGUUUGUUUGGUGGUGCAAAUUGUAAGAGGAAAGAUAGAGUUAGUUUUGUCAAUGGAUUUUUGUUGUUUUUAAGUGUUUAAUUUAACUCUUGUUUUGAAUCCCAUGGUUUUGAAUUUGGGAAGACAUCAAAACUUAAUUAUCUAUAUUUUAUCGAA